AAAACUAGUGUACUAGUGGCUGAUAAAAUUGAGUUCUGACUUAGCGGUAGCAGGAGAUUUCUUUAUUAUUGACGAUAAAUUAUUUUGCCGGCAAUCGAAUGAGUAAAUGUGCACACAUGAGCGCAAAUGCAAAUGCGGUCUCGAAGAAGAAGAAGAAGAAGAAGAAGAAAAAGAAGAAGAUUCAAUGAAAAACAAAGCAGUGGUGGAAAGGGCAUGGGAUGAAGUAAAUUCCGGCAUAUGAAGAUUGCAAAUUAGUAUUAGACCUUUGACUUUAUAUAAAGGUCGUUUAACUAUGUUAUUUUAUCACACUGAUUGGUUGUUUUGCACGACUUAUUCCACGCUUUGCUUAAUCAACAUACUUAUUAUUAUAAUUUAAGUCUUUGUUGGUGUGUCUGUUGCUUAUUUAAGACUCAUCAAUGAGUUUGUUAAUAUGAACGCAACCCCGGCAAUAUCAUAAUAAAAUAGGUCUGAAGAUGAUGAAGAUGAUGAAGGAAGAAAUGUAGAAGGGAGUAAACAAUAAUCAUCAUCGAACUGACGGCGAAUAGGACACAGAGAUCGAAUACAUCGUAAUCGUCGGGGUACGUAAAUGCCGCAUACCAUGAAUACACUAAAGCUCAAGAUUGGGCGCCAGUUUAGCUUCAGCGAAACAAUGCCAAUGGUUUUUAAAUAAACGUAGGACUGGAAUGUUUUUGUACAAGAGAUUGUAUUGCUAUGAUUGAUGACACUUUAUUAGCAUUGUUCAUAUUGCCAAACGAAUUAAGGUCUCCAGAGAAAUUAACAUCAUACAUAUCUUUUUAUUCUAUAGCUAUGUUAACUAUAUUCUCUUACCGUGUUGCGGAGUGCGGACUAGUGUCAUGGCGUUCAAUCUACAUAUCAUGAAUCCAUUAAUCAUAAACCAGAGGCGGCUUUGUCAAUCGCCUACAAUUGUUAACUUUAAUCUGCCACUGGUAUUGAAUCUCAUAUACAAUAUCUGAGUAUAGAUUGUGUCGGGACAUUACUUAAAUGCUUUUUACAUUGAAAACAAUAGAUACUUGAGUACAUGUAUGGGAGGACAGUGACAUUUGGUGAUGUCCUCGAUGCCCUAUGUGUCACGUUUCGUCCUCCACCUCACCUUUCACCUGUCUCUUUUCAUAUAUAUUUUUAUUUAUCGUUUAUCUUGGGCGCCAAGGGUCCAAAUCAUACUGAUAAAUCUCAAAAAAAAAAGAAAAAGAAAAAUUUAAUUGUAUUGUUGAGAAUUCCACACUUUAUUAUAUUCUUGCUAAAUUAAAUAAAUUCUUGUCAUAUAUAUCUUAUGAUCGUGAUUAACAAGUUGUGUCACGUAUUUUCCGAGGCUGAGAUAUUCGACGCUCUCAUCGUGACACUGAGGUAGUUAGUGGUAAGGAUGCUGCGCAAGGCCAAGGGAAAAUCUUAGUGAAUGGAUAGCUUUGCAGCCAUUAGCUACCUUAUCGCAAAAUGCAAAACACUAUUUAUUUUAUCCCAAUUUCUUAUAAUAACUAACGUAGUUUAAAAUUCAUUUGAAUAUCGGUAAUUCAUACUUGAGAGACCAAAAAAUUAUAAGAUAAUUAUUAAAAUACGCUAAACAUAAACAUAAAAAAUUACUUAUAAUUUGAUAUUUAAUAAUCGUUAAUAUAUUCACAUUUAAAAGAGUUACUGAAUCGCUCAGGAAUUAAUUUGAGACAUUUUGAAAUAUGUUACUUUUAUUUUUAUGGUUUACAUGGUACUUUCAAAUUUAAUUUUAUAAAAAUUUAAUAUUAAUUACUUAGUCAUUUGUUACUUUGAGUUAUGUUAAUUCAUUUGUAUUGUGGCUCUUAGCUGUUGUAAGAC